rnacentral:tRNA from 1 species
CGAAAUGUAGUUUAACCAAAACAUCUCGUUUACACCGAGAAGACGCCCGUGAAAACCAGGUCGCUUCGA